rnacentral:rRNA from 1 species
UACGUAGGGACCAAGCGUUGUUCGGAUUUACUGAGCGUAAAGGGCGCGUAGGCGGCAAUUCAAGUCACUUGUGAAAUCUCCGAGCUUAACUCGGAACGGUCAAGUGAUACUGCUUUGCUAGAGUGCAGAAGGGGCAACCGGAAUUCUUGGUGUAGCGGUGAAAUGCGUAGAUAUCUGAAGGAACAUCAGUGGCGAAAGCGACUUCCUGGACCAAUACUGACGCUCAUGUGCGAAAGCGUGGGGAGCAAACAGG